rnacentral:lncRNA from 1 species
UGUUUUUUUUUUGUGAAAACAAUUUUUGUGCACCAUAGAGAAUAUNNNNNNNNNNNNNNNNNNNNNNNNNNNNNNNNNNNNNNNNNNNNNNNNNNNNNNNNNNNNNNNNNNNNNNNNNNNNNNNNNNNNNNNNNNNNNNNNNNNNNNNNNNNNNNNNNNNNNNNNNNNNNNNNNNNNNNNNNNNNNNNNNNNNNNNNNNNNNNNNNNNNNNNNNNNNNNNNNNNNNNNNNNNAGAGGAUUUUAAUACUCCCUUGGUCCCUCCAUUCCUAAAUAUAAGUAUUUAUAGACAUUUCAAAUGAAAUACAACAUAUGAAUGUAUGUAUACAUAUUUUAGAGUGUAAAUUCACUCAUUCUGCUUCGAAUGUAGUCACUUGUUGAAAUUUCUAUAAAGACUUAUAUUUGAGAACUGAAGGAGUAUAUUGUAAGAAAAAUGUUCAAGCUAAUUUGUGAAUUUGUUUCACUACAGCUUGCAAAAACGUUUUAUAUUGUAGGAUGAAGGGAGUAACAAAUAAGCAAAAUAUACCAUUUUUACAUGCAAGGAAGCCAAAUAUGUACAGCGUGUAUAGUACACGAAGGGUCUCUUUAGGACACAUCUAGAUGUGACAUAGUUAUGUCACAUCUAACCUGAUUUUCACUCUGUUUGUGGUCUAUUUUUUUUGUUCUAGUUUUUUUUUGUUUCUUGUUGAUGCAUUAUAUACUUGUGGAAGGUUAGAUGUGACAUCCUUAAAAAACAUCUAGAUGUGAAUUAGACAAACUGGUACACGAAUAUCUAAAGCAGCACGCACCAUACACCUCUCCACGGAAAAACCUAAACAGACGGUGGCCGGCCGACGCCCGCGGCCGGGCCGGUGUCGGAGCGGCAGACCGGGCACGUCGAGUGCGCGUCCAGCCAGGGGUCGAUGCACUCCGCGUGGUACAUGUGCAGGCACGCCGGCAGCAGCCGCACCGUCUCGCCGAGCUGCAGCGCGCCGAGGCACACCGAGCACGUCGCCGCCUCCUCCUCCCCGCCGCCCGUCAUGUUGCGCUUCACGGACGGGCUGUACGUGAACGCCGGGAGGCCGGCCGUGGGGCUGGCGGCGUAGGCCCGGCCAAGCUGCCGCUCGCCAACGACGCGCACGCCAUUGCGUUCCGGCACGGGCCACCGCCAAGCGGCGGCCGCGGCUCGAGCGCGGCGGUCGCGGUACUCCCUGCAGAGGGUGCACACGGCGGUGAACACGAUCAAGCACGCCACGACGCCGAUGAGGAGGCCGGCCAGUAUCCUGCCUUGGGUAGACGAUGGCCUAGCAUUGGACGGCGGCGGCGGUAGUGAAGGAUGGAAUGGCCACCGCGGUGGAGGGGGAGAGGUGACAAUGGGGACGAAGCCCGGGGGCGAUUGAGCCACUGAUGCUCGUCGUGCGCAACUGUUGCUUGUGGUAUGGUUUAAGCAGUAUAAGCAGACUCUGUCGGGGAAGAAUUAUAAGCGGAUAAAAUCAACCACUCCUACUUGCAAGCCUGUGGUCAAAGGGGUUAGUUAAUUGAUUGCCGAUUCAUUGUCAAAUGCGCGUUUAAUGGAAGGGAAAUCGCGGCACGAUACCAAGCGACGUCGUGGCACUGCUGCUGUCUAUGUCAUGGGCUUCGCUCAGGCUGGAGGAAAGGUGCGAGUGUAGGUGAACUACGGACAUACCCAAGUCCAAUUAGAAGCGAAAAUUGCAUCCCUUCUACAUAAUGACACACACAUGAUCCUUAUUUCAGCCCAAAUGAUAAGUGUCACACUUGUGGCACGAAGCACUCCGGUCAUGGCGUUUUUUACAACUAAAUAAAACUACCAUCCGAAAAGAAAAAACUAACUAAAAAAUACUAAAACUUGUCAUUUGAAAAGGAAGUUGCCAUGCUUGACAACUAAAAUUGCCAUCCUCGCGUCACUGUAUUUAUUAUAAAAAACGUUCAAAGUUGCCAUGUGUUUGUAUCGUACGUGUGACAUUUAUAAAGGUCCCCUUUCAUAUGGUUGGGCGAAGCCAUUGCGGACGAUCUCAACAGUUCUACUGGGGAACCGUAUAAUUCGAAGGUUUCCACAAAGACAAAGCCGGGAGAGUGAGAUCUUCAAGACAAGACAUUGGAGACCAAAUGACCCUGAGGACGUCCACAAAUACUUGCAAAUAGGACAGAUGCAUCAUUUGAAGAUUCCUGUCUUAUGUUGCCCAGACAACUGAGUAGACGUAUUUUUGAAUAUAUACAGCAAGCAAAAUCAAUCCAGCAAACUAACACCCGUCAAAAUGUGCAUCUAGCUAGACAGCGGCCGGGUCGGUGUCGGAGCGGCAGAGCGGGCACGUCGAGUGCGCGUCCAGCCACGGGUCGAUGCACUCGGCGUGGUACAGGUGCAGGCACGCCGGCAGCAGCCGCACCGUCUCGCCGACCUGCAGCGCGCCGAGGCACACCGAGCACGUCGCUGCCUCCUCCCCUCCGCCCGCCACGUUGUGCUUCACCGACAGGCUGUACGUGAACGCCGGGAGCCCGGCCGUCGGGCUGGCGGCGCAUGCCCGGUGAAGCUGCCGCACGCCGCCGCUCUCCGGCAGGCUCUGCGUCGGAGCCGCUGCCGCGGCGCGUGCGCGGCUGCUGCGACGCCUCUUGCAGAGGCUGCACACGGCGAGGCCAACGAGCAGGCAGGCGACGAGGCCGCCGAAGGUGCCGGCGACGGUCCUGCCUUGAGACGAACCGCCGGACGGCGGCGGCGGCGGCGGCAUGGAAGGACGGUAUGGCCACGCCGGCGGGGGGAGGGAGAAGCCGGGGAAGCCCGGCGGCCACCGAGCCAUCGGUGCGUGUGUAGCAAAACUGCAAACCAACUCUACCGUUGUCUGCUGGUUUUAUAAUCUUGAUUGAAGCAAAUUAUCAUGUUGGAGCGCAACUUCAUGGAAACUGACCCCGUGGACAAACUGACAGCCGACGUUGAAGCAAAUUAUUAUUUUUCUCUGCGAAACGAAGGGGAAAUCAGGGGACUCGGCACGGCUUCGCCUCGCUUGCACGCUAGGGUAACUGGGCGGUGGCGCUAAGCUGACGUUGCCAAGGCCGUUCCCGUUCCUGUGAAUUAUGUGGUGUUGGAGAUCAGCAGGUUAAAUAGAAGAAGCUGUUUUUUUCCUUGUAGACGCGAGACCGGUCGGCUUCGCCUCACUUUCCGUUUACACACGAUCUUGAGCUGAACCGGAUCUCUACUCUGGUCCUGCAACAGGCACCGAGCUUUUACAACCGAAGCAAACCAACCGAGAUUUAGCGCCAUCCAAUACCUCUGUAAAUAGACUAGGUUACAACUUACAAAGUCAUAAACCAAACACGAACUCAGGGUCAGGGAGCAUGUCGAUAUGGCCACAAAGCAGAGAAGCAAGCAAAUGACACCACUUGUGCAGCACCGAGCUUUUACACCCCUGUUGACAGACAUGCCCUUCCAUUUCGACCGCAAAACCACCCUGGUCUGCUAUAUAAACCCAUGAGACACAAGCAACUGAAAUGAGCUCCCUUUCCAUGAAGUGCCUGCUCUUCACCUCGGCAGUCGCCGCCCUUGCCCUUUUCCGCAUUGCCGCUGUAGGCGCCGGCCUGGAAGUCGGAUUCUACAGCAAGAGCUGCCCAUCAGCAGAGAACCUGGUAAAGCAGGCAGUCACCUGCAACCUUCAAGAACAAUCACUGGUGUCGCCUGCGCUUCCACAACUGUUUUGUCAAGGCAUGUAGACGGCAUAUACUUUCCUAUACCUGCACAAUCAACAUAAGGUAAGCAUGAGUUGUAUGUAUGUUCACGGUAACAACCAAUAGGAUUCCUUCUUUGCACCCCUAGUUGAAUUAUGAACUGCAGGAAAAGUAUCGAUUCUGCAGCAUGCCACAUACGUAGAAGCUAGAGUAAAGUACUCAGGAACAUCUAUUUGUUGUCACAUAUGCACAACGUAGAAACUACAACAAAUAUGAGUUACAAACACCUUUCUCAUAGCAGAAAAGACGGUACCAUCCUUUAUAAUCAACAUAAGCACAUAGCAUAAAGCGAUCGUGUAAGUAUUAUUUUCAAGCUAGCCGCAACUGCAGGCUGAUAAUUAUUUCUAUCGUUGACUAGUUCGUGCUGCCACCAAAGCACCUCAGACCCAUCGCGGAGGUAAGGGUAUUUGAUCUGUCAAAAACUCCCAACACACAGGCAAAGAUUGGUUUGUGGCACGCAUUCUCGUUAAAGUCUCAAUUUGUAUGCAAAUUUGCAUUUAGCCAGCAUAUGGCCCAAAAAGAUAAAGCUGAUAUGCAAUAUGCAAUAUUGAUCAGUCAACACUGCUUUUGUAUAUACCAACAAGAAACAUGCAUGUUAACAAAAUGCAAAAGAGCAACCAGCAUAUAUGUCUAUCAUCAAAUCUAAUGCCCACGUUCAUACUCAAACAAAUAUUUGCGAGGUGAUCUACUGUUAUAAAACACAAUUACCAUAUGCUAACAGGUUUGUGAUGGCUCAGUCCUGAAUCCGAAUUGACUCGACGGCAAACAAAACUUCUGAGAAAGACGUCAUUCCCAACAAACCCAGCCUCCGUGGGUUCGAGGUAACUGAAACUGCAAAGAAGGCCAUCAAAGCCCAAUGCCCCAAGACAGUCUCAUGCGUGGACAUCCUUGCCUUCGCCGCCCACGACAGCAUCACGCUAGGAGGAAAUGUUACUUACAAGGUGCCUGCUGGGCGCCGCGACGGCAGGACGUCCACUGACCAGAAUGCCCUCAACAACCUACCCUCACUAGUCACCACUCUCAACAGCUUCUGAGCUGGUUGGCGACUUCACCUGAAGGACCUCACAGCUCAGGACAUGGUCAUCCUCUCUCGUGCGCACACCAUAGGCGUCUCGCAUUGCUUGUCCUUACAAAGAUCCUAUAUGGCUUCAGCAACACCAGUCAGGUAUGAUGGUGUUCAGAACUAUCGCUAGAUCUCAGACAUUUUCCUUUCGGGCCUUAUGGUAUGCAUCUAGUCUAGUAUCUAUGUCUAUAAUGAUUGUUUUACUGCCAGGUUGAUCUUACCCCGAGUCCCCGACGAUGCUUGACAACAAGUAUUAUGUGGGUCUGACAAACAACCUAGGCCUGUUCACGUCAGACCAGGCAUUGCUCACAAACUCAAAUCUGGGAGCAUCGGUUGACGAGUCUGUCAAAAGCGAGAAGAGAUGGAAGAGCAAGUUUGUUAAGUCCAUGGUUAAGAUACGGCUCAGCUGCAGGGUCAUAAACAAAGGUUGUACUGGUCUUGAGCUUAACAAUGACCCCGACUCUGGUGAAUUCACUGAACUAGCGACAAGCUAGUGGCAGUUGUGGACUGGUCUCUAGUAACUCGAUAAACGCUAUGCUUAGGUCAUUGCUUUGACAAGAAUAAAAGAAAAACAGACAUAUAGAACAACUCAAGGAAAAGAAAAAAUUGUCCAGUUUUCUGCUUUGUUCUGUCUGUUUAGUUUUCUUGUAAUAAUGCCAGAUAAAAGUUCUUUUUACAAUGUUGCGCGUCGGAAUCAGGUUUUGGUUACCAUGCGGUAUUUUCGGUUACCGCCCGGUAGCUACAUUAACCAAUCACCUCCGGUAAACAGAUGAAAACUACUGGCUUUAUUCACAUCAACCUCAAUGUGAAUAAGAUUGCAGGUCCAUAGAAAUAUCACAAGUCUUUGAGAUCCUUGCUGCUAAUUAGGUAUGACAAUAAGCAAAAGGAGGGCAACAUCAAUGCCGUCAAUUCCAGAUAAUGAUAUUCUGGUCAUAGCUCUCGGAAACUUUGAGCCCAAACAUGUGCACAUAAUGCUGAGUUUUAUUCUAUAGCUGUGGUCAAAGUUGUUUACAACCUAUUUUCUUCAGCUUUGAGCUCCAGUCUUGACUAUCUCCAGUUUUCAUACAAGCGGGAUUCUUCAAGAACUACUCCUAAUCUGACAAUGACAUUCACCGCCGUAUUUUCGGCUUUGUUUUGGGCACAAGAAACAGAUGCCCCUCUAUUUGGACUCUUAAAUUUAUGCUAAUAAAUGGCAACUGAAUUGUCAUCUCAAGAAAUAUUUAGUAGUAGUUAAACUAAUAUCGGGAGCAUUUUUCUUGAAGAGAACUAGUAAUGGAAACUAAUCGGCUUAAAUGCUAAAAGCUGACUUGCCCUUCUUAUACUUCGUUCAGGCCCAAAUGAGACAUCAUAUUCACAUUCAAAGAAAUUAGCAUCAAGGGCCACUAGCAAUUACAGAGGUACUUUUAGACUUUUAGCUACAUGAACAUGAGUGUGAUAUAAUCAGUGCAUAUAUCAAACAGGAAGACUAGCAUCUCAACAAAGAAAAUGAUGUAAGUACAAGUAGUGGUUAGUUUACUUGGAAGAUCUUCAACGGUUCCCAUUACAACCUCUCGGCAUUUGUAGUAGAUAAGAGAACCAGCCAUUCAUAAGGAAAAGGAGGGGAAAAGGCCAUAAACUUGACGCAAAAAAGUUCGAAUAUUCUAAACAAGCUGGGACCUAUCACUGAGCAACAAUUAUCAAUUAUAACUGGCUGGCUGUAGUCUUCCAGGUGCUUAACCAAUGUCCAUAACUAAAGAUGAUGCCGCAAGUUGAACCAACCUAUGAAUGGUCACAGAAAAUAAACAAGAACAAAGAUAUGGAAAUGCAUUUAAUCAACAACAUAAUAAACUGAAAGCACACUGAGAAGAAUGACGGAAAUACUUAAAGAGACGAGACACGGAACACAGGACAAGGUUGUGGUGAUCCAGCUCAUGGGUUCAAAUCCUCACUCUCCAAAUCAAAGUUACAGCAAUGGGACUUCGAACCCACGACAGCAAUACAACCUCUAAGAAGUACACAAGGUUAAAUAACAACCAAGAACAAGUCUUUUACAAAGACACGGGACACAGAUCACUUGAAAACAACACACAACACAUAAGCCAUAACACAAUACUGCUAAACUAGAGCAAGCAAGAAGCUUACUCUCUACCACCACGGUAGAAUGCUGCACCUGCGUAGCUCUCAAGAGCAAAAGCUUAAACAUCAAGACACCAAGACAGACAACAACACGAUCAGGGAUUGGCAGCACCAUGAAUGCCGACCACGCCACUGCUGCCGGACGAGCCACCAGUGCCAGGGAAGGAGCUAGAGCCCGGCAUCCCGCCGAAGCCUACCUGUGGCGUGACGCCGUUUGGCCCCGGAAACACCCAGUUGACCGACGGGCCAGGGUAGAAACCACCGAACCCAAAGACGUUCUGGGGACGGUAGGACUCGGGCUCAGUUGCUGGGAUGUCCCUUGCACCAUGGCAAGCAACGGUGGUGGCGAGCAGGAGGCCAAGAACAAGGCUCGCGCUGACGCCGUUACGUCUCUCCAUUGUUGCUACUGCUUUUGCUUGCCGACCAUCUGGUUUGGCCAAGAGCAAGUUGCACAUCCCCCUCUUUUAUAACCGCUAGUGUAGUGUACUGUGCAUGAUCGUUGCGGUGGCUGUGACUGAAACUGAAAGGUGGGCCUAACUUGUGUUUCUUUGCGGCAGGACCCACCUGCCAGUGAGCGUAGCUAUGCCAGUGGCUCCAAAGGUUUUGGCUACGGUCAAACCAAAACAUGGACCGCAGAUCUCCAUGGGACCAUACAUGUUUACUCUGUUGGUGUACUUCUAGCUUGAGUUAAGAUCAUAAUUCAUAAAGCUAAGACUUGACAUACUGAACUUAUGUUCAUAUCUGAUGCUGGGUGUACAGUGGCCUGGGUGCGCAUACCGAGGGUUGCAAGGCCUCAGACUGCAGUAAACGAGAGC